rnacentral:misc_RNA from 1 species
AAGUCGUAACAAGGUUUCCGUAGGUGAACCUGCGGAAGGAUCAUUACGCAUAGGGACUGGCAGCCGAGUCCCCACCUAGCGAAAAUUAGGUGGGGUAAGGUGCGCCAGCAACCCCCCGACGCAUACUCUGACCUGGGCCCAGCCCCGGCCAUCCUGGCCCUUUUUUUUGGAAGGCCAUCAUUUUCGUUUCCCUCGGGCGGGGCUUUGCCCGCCACUGGGGGACCCUCAAAAACCUUUUUGUAAUGAGAAGUAACAGUAUCAUAAAAAAACUUUAUCACAA